GGCCCCGAGGCACGCCGGGAGUUGUAGUUCUGAGGGGGAGGUGGGAGCAGGAAAUGAUGGCUGGGUCGCGGGUUCGAGGCCCGCUGGGGCCGC